UACAGAGGUCUCAAGCGUUGUUCGGAUUCAUUGGGCGUAAAGGGCGCGUAGGCGGCGCGGUAAGUCACUUGUGAAAUCUCUGAGCUUAACUCAGAACGGCCAAGUGAUACUGCAGUGCUAGAGUGUGGAAGGGGCAAUCGGAAUUCUUGGUGUAGCGGUGAAAUGCGUAGAUAUCAAGAGGAACACCGGAGGUGAAGACGGGUUGCUGGGCCAACACUGACGCUGAGGCGCGCAAGCCAGGGGAGCAAACGGG
rnacentral:rRNA from 1 species